GACGAACGCUGGCGGCGUGGAUUAGGCAUGCAAGUCGAACGGUAUCAUCCUUUCGGGGGUGAGAGAGUGGCGAACUGGUGAGUAACACGUAGGUUAUCUACCCUCAAGACGGGGACAACCCAGGGAAACUUGGGCUAAUACCGGAUGUGAGCAACUUUUAGUUGUUUGAAAGGUGGCGUAAGCUGUCGCUUGGGGAUGAGCCUGCGUCCUAUUAGUUAGUUGGUGAGGUAACGGCUCACCUAGGCAAUGAUAGGUAGGCGGCCUUAACGGGUGGUCGCCCACACUGGGAUUGAGAUACGGCCCAGACUCCUACGGGAGGCAGCAGUCGAGAAUAGUCUACAAUGGUCGGAAGACUGAUAGUGCGACGCCGCGUGAACGAUGAAUCCCUUCGGGGUGUAAAGUUCUUUUAUAUGUUGAGCAGUGCUUUCUUAUAUUAACAGUAUGGGGAAGAGAUAUUAGCAUAUGAAUAAGCAACGGCUAACGUCCGUGCCAGCCAGCCGACGGUAAAUACCG
rnacentral:rRNA from 1 species